ACUCAAUCUGCCAUACAGUAGCGGCCGCGUCUGGGAUCUGUCACUGCUGACAGCACCGCAGGGCACAGACAUGAUCUUCCGCACAACACUGCAACUCCCCAAAAUACCCUCCUCGCUCCCAGGGUGUCUACCGGGCUGCACCGCGCGCCUCCUCCAAAAGGGGGAAAUCGGCCGAGCCCCGAGCAGCCGAACACUGCGAGCUGGGCGAGAGGCAGCACCCCCGCACCCCCUCCCGCUAUUGGGAGCACACCGCCGGGGCGAGGGGCGAUGGCACGCCCUGCCGGUGCAAAGGUCGUGCAUGUAAGCGAGGGCGCCGUGAGAUCGCCGAGAAUGACUUCAGUGAAUAAUUUCAGAGACUGUUACGGCUUCGGGGAAUUUUUUGUUCAGAGAAUGUGACCCUGCAGCCGGAGGGGCUGCCGUUAUCUCUGUUUCUGCAGACGGCUCCAAACGCUCUCCCACCGCCCCGCCCUGACAGCAGCAGUGGCUGCGGCGCACAGCGGGCGAGGGCUCCGGUCGCCUUACAGAGGUAUUGCUGGCAUCUCCUCGGGGGAAGACGAGCGGAGAGAGUGGCACGAAACGUACAGAACAAUAAUGUAAAAAGUUUGGGAAAGUAAGCUUGGCACUGUCGGUCCCGCUGAGUCAUAGAAUCGUGGAAUCAUUAAGAUUGGAAGAGACCUCUAAGAUCAUCUUGUCCAACCCAUCGCCACAACGGCCACUAAACCAUUUCCCUCGGUGUCAUAUCUCCGUGUUUCUCAAACACCUCCAGGGACGAUGCCUCCAGCACACCCUGGGCACCCUGUGCCACUGAAUCACCGCUCUUUCUGAGAAGAAUUUUUUCCCAAUAUCUGACCUGCACCUUCCCUGACACAAUUUGAGGCCAUUCCCUCUAGUCCUAACGAUAAAGCCAGGGCUAACGCCUGCGCCUCGAGCGGGCCCGGCUCCCAGCGUGCCAGGACUCGGCGGGACGUAUCAGCAGGUGCAAGGCCAUCUCCAGGCAGCAGCAGCACUUGGAGCUGGAGCAGCCCACUUCCCAGCUCGCAAGAAGCCUGCGGCUUCCCGCACGUAAGCGCUGCACCUCGGGGUCAGCUGCCGGGACAUAAGGUGGAAAUCUACCUGGCCCGAUGUUUGCUUUGGAAGCGAGCAUCCACGCCGGGAGACGAAGAUAAAGCCAGCGCCGGGCCGGGGACUGAGAGGAGCGGGGGGAGCGCCCGGCUGCAACAGCGGCUUUUGUUCUUGCUUCUCCCAGGGCCAAAGGAGCACACGGCGGUGGCGAAGGAGCCCCCAGGCUCGGAGCACGGCACCGCACCGCUGCCGGGCCGGGCCUGGAGAACACCGACGGGAUGUCGCCCAGAGCGGGGAUGGCUGCGGGCAGCGUGACGUCAGUGCAGCUUCUGCUCCGCGCCGCGAGAUAGAGGCAUCAGGGCCGGGGGAGGGAGACCCUAAUCGCUCCCAGAUGGCUCUAAUAGCAGAUAUAAAGACUUACACAGAGUCCGAGAAUAAAUUUGUAAUCAAUGCUC